AUUGAACGCUGGCGGCAGGCUUAACACAUGCAAGUCGAGCGAGCGGCGGACGGGUGAGUAAUGCCUGGGAAACUGCCUGAUGGAGGGGGAUAACUACUGGAAACGGUAGCUAAUACCGCAUACCACCAGAUGUGUCCCGAUGGGAUUAGCUAGUAGGUGGGGUAAUGGCUCUGCGAGGCGAUGAUCCCUAGCUGGGCUGCGAGGAUGACCGGCCGCACGGGAACUGAGACCCGGUCCAGACUACUGAGAGAGGGAGCAGUGGGGAAUAUUGCGCAAUGGGCGCAAGCCUGAUGCAGCCAGGCCGCGUGUGGGAAGAAGGCCUUCGGGUUGUAAAGCACUUUCAGCGAGGAGGCGUUACUCGCAGAAGAAGCACCGGCUAACUCCGUGCCAGCAGCCGCGGUAAUAC
rnacentral:rRNA from 1 species